GCGUCACCGGAUCCGGCGGCCGUUUCACGAUUCUGCACGAUCGUCGCACCCCCUUUUAGCAGGCGCACGAGCGGUUCAGCGGACACUCUCGUGCAUAUGUAUGUGCGUAUAUCCCCGUGUACACGUGUACAUACAUACGUGUGCGUGCCCGCGUGAAUGCUCGUUACCGUUCGCGACCAGCGAACGCCGUUACGCGGUUCAUCGCGGACGAACCCCUCGGUCGCCCGCGACGUACCGCGGAAACACUUCUCGACACCCGGAGGUUUAGUCCUCGGGGAGGAGAUUUCGAUUUUUCGCGACUGAGGAAAGACGCGCGACCCCGUGAACCGCGUGCGAUCUGACGCGCAGGUGCUUAAGAGGGAUACGCACCGACGUUGGGCGCGUGGCGGGUCUCCUUUCGAUGGCACCGCGACGAGGGUAAGGGUUAUUGUUUCCGGUGAGCUGUGACGUCGUGUCCGUGAACGGCGAACGGGUCAGCAGCGCGUUCCCCCUUUCAUCGGUGCCGCGAACCGGUCGGUGCACCAUCCAGCGCAUGCAUCGAGGGUUGCAUCGCAACAUGCCACGAAUGAGGUCUUUCCGCCGUCUCGACAGACCGACGCGUUUCUUAAGAACUGGAUUGAAACCGGUAGAAAAGGAAAGGAGAAGAAGAUAAACGGGGUAACGAGAAGAAUCGGAGGGUUGUGUAAGGGUGGAGGUGGUGUGCGAUGGUGAAUGCGGUGGUUGAUAAGUGGCGCGGGACACAAUCAGCGGCACGAGACACGAGCGGAUUGUUGAACCUCUCGACUCCCCUGCGAACGAUCAUAUCCGCAGCGGCGUACAGAGGGUGGAUUUCGGGCACUCUGCUGAGGGAUCGUAGGGAGAACGUGAAUUCCAGAAAGAGACGACACGCGAGAGGACGGACCGCGAGAGGAGGCGGGGCGGGGAGCAGCAGCGGCGAAAAAUAGGAAGCAAUAAAAGGUCCUCGUGACGGAGGGGCUUCGCACGGCCCUGGCGCGACUGCGGCACUGUACCCCUGCGGGGGGCUCGCUGCCGACCACACCGAAUCCACCGUCCACCCCGGAACAUAAGUCCCAAGGGUGUUCGAGGAGUCGCGAGUCGGCAACCAGAUGUGGCAGUUUGGGAAGUAGCGCGUGUGACACGGGGGAUACAUCGCAGUCGCAGCCAUCGCGAGGACAGCAUGGAGCCGACGGCGGCGGCGGC